CGCGCCAAUUAUGUCAUCUUCAAC
rnacentral:siRNA from 1 species